UGGGGUGCCACAGUAAUAACAGAUAAAACACAACUGUGGAACAUGGUGAGAAGAGAAAUAUUAUCUCAAAGGACGACUAGGAAUAUCCAAAAUGUUGCAGCAAGUAUUAGUAACCAUUCACACAAAUCUUUUAAAUUAAAGCAAGACAUCUCCAUUCUUCAGUUUUUCAAGAGUAAACAGUUCAUUGAUAAAGCAAUAUAUGGAGAACUGGUGAGAAUAUUUGCAAGAAUACUUGAGUAAAUCCAAUGAACUACUUAGGAAUUGAAUUUUCAAAAUGACUAUGUCAGCAAGAGAGUGACUGAAUUAGUCAAUAGCAG